rnacentral:rRNA from 1 species
AACGCAGCGAAGGGCGAUAAGCAGUGCGAAUUGCAGAACCGUGAGUCAUCAGAUUUUUGAACGCAACUGGCGCCGGCUGGCUCUCCAGUCGGCAUGCUUGUUCAGUGUCUUGUUUUCUCCUCUCCCAAAUCUUAAUGCUGGAGAUACCCUUCUCUGGUUAAGUACGAAAGCACUCUGAGCUCUGCAGGUGAUCUCGGCUUGUCUGAGGGUCACACUCAAUGCAGCAGUCACAUUUUACAGUGUGAACUCAUUGAGAGUAGAACCAGCGCAGCUUGUCUGCAAGUGCUUAGGCAUCCAAACUUACAUUGUAUCUGAGAUCAAGCAGGACCACCCGCUGAACUUAA